rnacentral:lncRNA from 8 species
GUCUCACGAACGCGCAGGGGAUUACAGGAAAGUUUGAGUUGUGCGGAUACACGUCAGUUUUUUUUUGUUCGUUGUUGGUUUACUAAAGAUAGUUUGCUUUAUCGACUGUAUUUUUGUACUUGUUGUUAUUUUUGUAAGGAGAAAAGUGGUGUGCCUGAAGGUGACCAGCAAGCAAAUAUUUCUCAGCAGAUCCAGCUAGCUAAUCUACUUCCUCAGGAAACUGAUGUCAUUGCUUUGUACGGGACACCCCAGCAGGUCCUCCAGCAGACGCUGCCCCUUCUGUCUUCCAGAUGCUGCUGCCCACCAUCAGACAAGUUAGAAAGCAAGGGCUGGAGGGUACCAAAAUGGCUGAAAGAUGCCCCACACCACCCGUGCUAUAACACCUCAUUGAACUGUAAAUUGAGUGAAUGAUUGGUUAUGACAUGCACUAAACCGGAGCAUACAGUUGUACUAUAAAAAACAGUAGGAUAUGUGAAUUUAAUUGUGACUAGUGCACUUAUCAUGAGUUGUACAUUGAUCAUCUGUGUUUUAGAUUUCCAUCCAUUCUAAUCUUUUAGCAUAAUUUGCGCUCCUUUUUUCAUAGGCAGUUCUGGCUGAUGACCUGUCUCCAUAGCUGAUAGAAACUAAGAAGGAAUAUCGUCCCCAAUGAUACCAAUAUUUCUAACUGUACUGAUGAGGAAGAGGGCAGACUUAUGUUGUCGCUGAAUUGCUUGAAGUGUUCAGUCAAAAUUACAGUGCCACUUUGAUGUUUUCAAAAAUAACAAUCCAGAAAUGUUCUUGCUCUUCAAUGAGGUUCUGCCAAUCAUAUGUUGGAAACCUACAGUAGUAACUUUUUUGUUGAACACCAGUGAUUCUAAGAAUAACUGUUACUUGUAGGACAAUGUCUCCAUCACAGGUCACCAAGGGUACAGUACGGUGUAUAUCCUUAAUAAAACAAUUUGAUGGUUAAUUUUGCAUGCCUCAUUUUCCAGUCGACAUGGAACAAAUCAAUCUGAAAUAUAGUUUUACCUACAGUAUGACUUGCAUAACCAACUCAGUGCCCUCGCUGAGAUUAAAAGGUUGGACAGCUCUAUCCCUGGCCUAGUCAUACUAAAGACAAAAAAUGGGACCCGAUGCAUCUCUGCUUGGCACUCUAGAUGGAUAGAUAAAUAGAUUGGGGAUAAGGCCAUGCGAAAGACUAGCAUCUUGUCCAGGGGAUGUACCCCUAGUCGUAGACUGUUCUCUAUGCUACAGCAUGGCAAGCGGUACCGGAGUGCCAAGUCUAUGUCCAAGAGGAUUCUAAACAGCUUCUACCCCCAAGCCAUAAGACUACUGAACAUCUAAUCAAAUGGCUACCCAGACUACUUGCAUUGCCUCUCCCCCCCCCCCCCUUUAUUAUCGAUGCAUAAGUUACUUUAACUCUACCCUCGUAUAGAUUAUCUCAACUAACUGGUGUCCCCACUCAUUGACUCUGUACCGGUACCACCUGUAUAUAGCCUCACUAUUGUUAUUUUGCUGCUGCUCUUUAAUUAUUUGUUACUUUAUUUCUUAUUUUUGUAGGUCUUUUUCUUAACUGCAUUGUUGGUUAGGGGCUUGUAAGUACGCAUUUCUCUGUAAGGUCGACACCUGUUGUAUUCGGUGCAUGUGACAAAUACAUUUUGAUUUGAUGGUGCCUUGACAUAUGACAACCGCAGUUUUUGUGAAUACUGUCCCACCAAGGACUAACUCAAAGACUAACGUUAAUGGCCAAAGGGGCCGUUCUCCCUCGCUCUCUGUCACUGUCAAAUAUAUAUAUUUUAUUUGUUUAGACCAGAAUAAUUCUUAGUAGGUUAUGUCUCUGUUCAUCUCUUAAAUGUGUUGACUUGCCUCACCAUGGCCAGCUAGCUAGCUAGCUAUUACCACAAGCCUGUCCUCCCCAAUUAAGGUGCCACCUGUGGUAACUACAUAUACUAGCCAUCAUAUUGCUUGUAGCAAGCACCAUGCCUGAGCUGUCUCCUCAUGAAUUUCUUGCUCACCGGCUGUCCUAGCCAGCAUAGCAAAGAUUAUCUACACUGAGUGUACAAACUAUUUGGAACACCUUCCUAAUAUUGAGUUGCACCCACUUUUGCCCUCAGAACGGCCUCAAAUCGUCAGGGCAUGGACGACAAGGAGUCGAAAGUGUACUACAAGGAUGCUGGCCCAUGUUGACUCCAAUGCUUCCCACAGUUGUCAAGUUGGCUGAAUAUACACUGCUCCAAAAAAUAAAGGGAACACUUAAACGACACAAUGUAACUCCAAGUCAAUCACACUUCUGUGAAAUCAAACUGUCCACUUAGGAAGCAACACUGAUUGACAAUACAUUUCACAUGCUGUUGUGCAAAUGGAAUAGACAACAGGUGGAAAUUAUAGGCAAUUAGCAAGACACCCCCAAUAAAGGAGUGGUUCUGCAGGUGCGGACCACAGACCACUUCUCAGUUCCUAUGCUUCCUGGCUGAUGUUUUGGUCACUUUUGAAUGCUGGCGGU